GCCAAGAGCCCCCGCCAGCUGGAGGUGUCGCUGGCGCCUGCAUCCUCGGCAGCUGGCCUCCGGCUCACCAGAAUACCUGGGGCCUGCAGUAAUGGCCUUCCUCCCUCCUGUCCCUGGGCCAAGGCCUGGGAGGCGGCUCUGUUUGGGCGGCUGUCUCGCUGGGCCAUGAGUGCGGCUUUGGAGUAAGGCAGCAGCACUGCAGGCAGGGAGGAAACCGCAGCCGGACGGCAGAGCCUCCCGCGUCAGCCCGGGAACCCUGCGGAUCUAACAUGCAAACAACAAGCUUUGUGUCCCGGCAGCGACUCUCACUGGGACGCCUGCAUCUCUUCCUCUGCAUCCCAGGGCUCAGCCGAUGCCAUGGAUCCCCGGCCUCCCCAUCUGGCCACCGCACUCUGGCACCUGCCCUGCAGGUGACUGCAACUAGCUCCUGAAAUUUCUCAACACUGAAGAAGCAGGUCUCAGGCGUCAAGAGAAGCCGGCUGGGUCCAGAGGUGUGGCCGUGGUCCUCUGGGCAGACGUGAGCGAGACCAGGAGGUGCAGUGUCACCGUCCCUUUCCAGCUGCACCUGUGUGCUCCCAGGACCCCCUGCCCGGUGGGCUCUCCCCUCGCCGGCCUCACGGUGCCGCACAUGCUGGGGUUUGCAUUCUCUCCUGCGCAGUCCACCCCUCUUACCUGCCGGUUCCCGAGGCUCUUCCUGUUUCCUGGGUUCCUCAGGUCCCCCGUGUUGUUUCAG
rnacentral:lncRNA from 1 species